UAGGACGGAGAUUAGGCGCAUUCGAUUCACGGUACGGACUCGUCGGGAGCCUGAGAAACGGCUACCACAUCCAAGGAACUUGUGGCAGCAGGCGCGCAAAUUACCAAUCCUGACACGGGGAGGUAGUGACAAUAAAGGCCUCUAACAAUACCGGCCGCUCGAUCGAGUCUGUAAUUGGAAUGAGUACAAUCCGAACGACGGCUUAGCAACGACAUCCUUGGGGGCAAAGUCUGGGGGGGCAAACGCGGACGAUUCCAGCUCCUAG
rnacentral:ncRNA from 1 species